rnacentral:misc_RNA from 1 species
ACAAACUUGGUCAUUUAGAGGAAGUAAAAGUCGUAACAAGGUUUCCGUAGGUGAACCUGCGGAAGGAUCAUUGCAAAUCGAGGGAGGUGGAGGAUGAGGAUUCCGAGAGGAGUCUGAAAUCCUGAUACCAUCUCACAUAUGCACAGCGGUCGGUCUCUGAUCUGCCGCUGAUGUUUACGCUUGUUUGUUUGACAAAUCUGUGCAUCAUAAAUAUUCAAAACUUUUAACAACGGAUCUCUUGGCUCUUGCAUCGAUGAAGAACGCAGC